AUAAGCACAAAAAAUCUAACAAGAUUAGCAUCAAGAGAACUAACCGAGUAGGUCUCUUAGACAAGAUUAAAAGACUAAUAACGACACAAAGUUUUGAUAUAAAAAUCUAAAACAAAGGAAGCCUAUCAAAGACCGUUUGCAUCAACAAACAUCAAAUCUUAAGCUGUGCAUAGCUCCAAGAUCCAACCACCACAGAACAAUACAAGCUUCAAGCUGUUACACAUAGUAGUCUCUAAGAGCCAACUUACACCAAACUUUUUUUCAGCAAUAGUGGAUGUGAACAAGAAAAAGCAAUAGUGGAUUCACUGUAAUACCCACUAAAAGUCUAAACAUACAAACAAACACCAUCAUUUCACAAUUUGAAAACAAUGAACAAAACUUUUCCAAACACACAAAAAUUCCUCAUGUAAUCCACAAACUAUAACCAUUUUCAAAAUCAAAAUGCAGACCCUAUGAUAAGAGAAGAUUCACUCCAACAUAACCAGUAAAGAAGCAAGAGCGUUGAGUAGCUACAACAAACCUUCAAGAUUAGCAGAGGCAAGCCAGGGCAGUAAGAUGAGUGAAAGCAUGCAGUGUGAGGAAGACGAGGAAUAUAGCUGCCCGGAACGGUACUGCCCGCUCUGCCCUAUUUGGCAACUCAAAAAAUUAUGUUCGCGUGAGAUCACUGAAAACGACGUCACUUGGAUUUUGGGCAGUAGUUGAAGCUCAGCUCCUCACCCGUUGCUCCUGUCCUGGUCAAACCUCUGUGGGCCAUUUUUCUUUUCUUUUGUUUUUCUUAAUUUAAAACCAUUAAUUUAUAUAAAAAAACUUAAAAAGUUUUAUUAAUGGUGAAAAUGAGUAUAUAUA